CAUGGCACCUUGGCAAGCCGGAAUUGGAGUCAAUGCCUUCUGCAGUUGUUUUUCUUGUUUCCUAUAUUUCGCCCUUCUGUUCUGAAACCAGACCUAUUAACAGAAGAAAAAAAGAUCGGCGUAUGUGCACGUAAGGGUCCUGGCGAACAUUCUCCCGAGCUUAUUUAUCGAGGAUGAUAAGGAUGAAGGGUAUCCAUCUCAGCCGAGGGGUUGCGCGGAUAAGAAAAAGAAAGUGCACCACCCACCUGAAUUCUGGCUUCGUUCAAUUUGGUGGACCGCGCCAAUUCCUCCCUGCAGUAUAUGUCCGGAUAAUG